GACGAACGCUGGCGGCGUGCUUAACACAUGCAAGUCGAACGGAAAGGCCCUGCUUUUGUGGGGUGCUCGAGUGGCGAACGGGUGAGUAACACGUGAGUAACCUGCCCUUGACUUUGGGAUAACUUCAGGAAACUGGGGCUAAUACCGGAUAGGAGCUCCUGCUGCAUGGUGGGGGUUGGAAAGUUUCGGCGGUUGGGGAUGGACUCGCGGCUUAUCAGCUUGUUGGUGGGGUAGUGGCUUACCAAGGCUUUGACGGGUAGCCGGCCUGAGAGGGUGACCGGCCACAUUGGGACUGAGAUACGGCCCAGACUCCUACGGGAGGCAGCAGUGGGGAAUAUUGCACAAUGGGCGGAAGCCUGAUGCAGCAACGCCGCGUGCGGGAUGACGGCCUUCGGGUUGUAAACCGCUUUCGCCUGUGACGAAACGUGAGUGACGGUAAUGGGUAAAGAAGCACCGGCUAACUACGUG
rnacentral:rRNA from 1 species